rnacentral:rRNA from 1 species
AACGAACGCUGGCGGCAGGCUUAACACAUGCAAGUCGAGCGCCCCGCAAGGGGAGCGGCAGACGGGUGAGUAACGCGUGGGAAUCUACCCAUCUCUACGGAAUAACGCAUGGAAACGUGUGCUAAUACCGUAUACGUCCUUCGGGAGAAAGAUUUAUCGGAGAUGGAUGAGCCCGCGUUGGAUUAGCUAGUUGGUGGGGUAAAGGCCUACCAAGGCGACGAUCCAUAGCUGGUCUGAGAGGAGGAUCAGCCACACUGGGACUGAGACACGGCCCCGACUCCUACGGGAGGCAGCAGGGGGGAAUAUUGGACAAUGGGCGCAAGCCUGAUCCAGCCAUGCCGCGUGAGUGAUGAAGGCCCUAGGGUUGUAAAGCUCUUUCACCGGUGAAGAUAAUGACGGUAACCGGAGAAGAAGCCCCGGCUAACUUCGUGCCAGCCGCCGCGGUAACAC